GCACUGGUGGUUCAGUGGUAGAAUUCUCACCUUCCAUGCAGGAAACCUGGGCUCAAUUCCCAGCCAAAGCA
rnacentral:tRNA from 1 species